CGGAGGGUGCAAGCGUUAUCCGGAUUCACUGGGUUUAAAGGGUGCGUAGGAGGGCAGGUAAGUCAGUGGUGAAAUCUUCGAGCUUAACUCGGAAACUGCCGUUGAUACUAUCUGUCUUGAAUACCGUGGAGAUGAGCGGAAUAUGCCAUGUAGCGGUGAGAUGCUUAGAUAUGACAUAGAACACCAAUUGCGAAGGCAGCUCGUUACACGAAUAUUGACUCUGAGGCACGAAAGCGUGGGGAUCAAACAGGAUUAGAUACCCUGGUAGUCCACGCCCUAAACGAUGGAUACUCGACAUACGCGAUACACUGUGUGUGUCUGAGCGAAAGCAUUAAGUAUCCCACCUGGGAAGUACGACCGCAAGGUUG
rnacentral:rRNA from 1 species